rnacentral:rRNA from 1 species
AUUGAACGCUGGCGGCAGGCCUACCACAUGCAAGUCUAGCGGCGCGGCGGACGGGUGUUUACUUCCUAGGACUCUGCCUGGUAGUGGUGGAUACCGUCCGGAAACGGUCCCUAAUAUCUCAUCCUAUCAGCUGAGCCUCGGUGGGAUUAGCUAGUUGGUGGGGUAAAGGCCUACCAAGGCGACGAUCCGUAACUGGUCUGAGAGGAUGAUCAGUCACACUGGGACUGAGACACGGUCCAGACUCCUACGGGAGGCAGAAGUGGGGAAUAUUGGACAAUGGGCGAAAGCCUGAUCCAGCAAUGCCGCGGGAGUGAAGAAGGUCUUCGGAUUGUAAAGCACUGUAAGUUGGGAGGCGUUACCAACAGAAUAAGCACCGGCUAAAUUCGUGCCAGCAGCCGCGGUAAUAC